rnacentral:lncRNA from 1 species
AUGGAGAGAUGCUUCAUCUCUCCUGUUGCACGACUGACUGCCCCCUGCUGCCUCAUAUCCCUCCUCCUGAUUGCUCUCGCAACCCAGCCCUCCACCUGCAACCAUGACGACAGCGAGGAUGAAGAGCAGGUGGACGCCCAGUCGAUCCACUUGUCUGUCACAGCCCAAGUCACGCCUACCCCUCAGUGGGCGGUGGUCUGGGGUCCGACGCAACCUUUGGAGGACGAGACAAACCACUUCCUCUCCAGCCAGGAAACUGACCCCCUGCAUCGGCAUGGAAACCAGCAGGAGGCCACAGCGUCCGAGGACUGGCUUUAUCAGGACACAAGCGCACACCCGCGGGAGGAGGACACGCUGGAACCUAAAGACCAGCAGGGAGAGCAGGAGGAGACAGAGCCUGAGGAAGUGGACCCUCAGUUCUACGUCACCGUGACCAUCUCGUCACUGCUCAUCUUGGCGGCAGUCGUCAUUACGGCCAAACUAUGUUACGAUCGCAGCUGUUCCCAGCAUCCGGCCCCUCUUUCCCGUGGGGCGGCCCCCCCCCUCUCCCUCGCGCUCCCUCGCUCCCUGGCUCCAGAGGACAGCCGGCAGACGUUACGCAGCACCUCGUCCUCUUUCACCGACAGGGAGAGGAUCCCAGUUGUGAACCUCUGA